GGGGGCGGGAUGGCGGGACGCGUCAGAUUAUAUGAGGAGGCGGACGGGUCGACCUGCAGCCAGCGAGCGAUGGUCUCGGUGUGUCCAGAUCUCGGAAGCAUUUUGACGGUUCUCGUUGAAAAACAGAAAACCCUUUCACCACCACGUUCGUUCAAGAGUGACUGUUCAGAUUUUUGUAUUUUUUUUUAUUACCAGCCGGUCAACAACGCUCAUUGUAAUUUAUACAAGCAAACCAAUACUACAUUACUACAUCUCCCUACGUGGCCUCUUGUACUUGAAUGCCCCUUUCUACAAAUCGAAAUAGCAUUAAAAGCUUGCUCUGCCAGUGUUUGAAUGUCUGUUUAUACAUACUAGUGUUACACAUAUUGGCAUGUGGGUUAAAUGUAAACAAUACUACAUGACUGGCCUUAGAUUUACUUUUCCCACUGCACUCUGGGCACAUAACAUUAGUCUGCUUCUCAGCCCUUGUUUAUCGCUAAUAGCCCAUUUCAGAACAACUUGAACUGCUUCAUAUAUUUGAAAUCACUCUCAUACUUAUACAUUUCAGUUAGAACUCGAACUUUUUUCUUUUUUUUUUUCAAAUACCAACUGAGAACGAAUGAAAUGUUUUGUAUUAGUGUGUAACGCACAAACACCACAACACCCUCAGACUGUUGCGGAGUGUCUCCUCAAACCAUAAUCCUAAUUUUGUUUAAAGAAAUAUAUAUAAAACCCAAUUAAGGAAAUCGAAUGAAUUUAUGUGCUUACCAAUGCUUUGCAACAAAUAUAUGAAUGUUGAAACAGCGCUACCAGCUCCCCAUUUGCUCCUCCCCUUGUGGUGUAACGUGUGUCUGCACCGUACGCUUCUCUCAGAUUCUGAAUUCAACGGGAAGGAGAAUAUGAAGGAAAUAUUAAUUCAGGGUCCCAACAAAAAACGCAACAACCCUCAAUAGUAAUGUGUUUCUUCUGUUAGCCCCUAAUUUCCAUGUCAAUUGAAACGAUUUGCUUGGACGGUUGGCAUGUGGGUCAUUUGUUAUUGAGUCAGUACCCCCGUUUCUCCACAGGGUGUCGCACCCUUCAGAGGAGACCAGCGGGGAGCUGACAACCCAGGCUGACGUUGUUGUUGCUGCUGCUGCUUAUAUUGGCAUUUGUAUAGAACCUUUUUUUUUUUUCGUGGAUUUUUGGUUUUUUUGUGAUACUGCGGUGCAUUUCAAAGUCUUAUGUGAAUGAAGAGAUUAUUAUUGUUUCUUUUCUAUAUUGUACAAAGGCCUGUCAACCCAUUGUCCCACGAUCUCUAACUCUCUCUCUCUGGGAUUUAACUUGCAGAACGUUUUGUGUUGCACAAGAGCAGUGGGAAGGGCUUUGAAAGAGGCUCCUAUUGCACGGUAACUACAAGCUCCUUCAUCCUGAAUCAGUGAGUCGUAACUCUUAGUGAUUGAUUUUUUUAUUGUUUUUUUUAGAGUCAAAUAAGAUCUAAACAAAUUAGUUUAGUUCAUAGACGUUGCUGAAGUAAAAUGUGAUCCUUUUUCUUCAAAGGGAAAAACUGAUUUAAACCGGUGGACGUUACCCUCUUAAACAGCUUAUUUUCUGACCAAACAAUGCACAUCCUUUGUCAGACACUAAUACCAAUCUUAACUUUCAGAUUUUGUUGAGCAAUGUGUAAAAUUGGCACUUAAAUGAUGCGGUGGUCAGCGUGGUCAUAGCGUUCUAUGUUAAGGUCAGUUAUUCAUACAAAUUCCAUUAGUAUUGUAAAUAAUAACACCAUGUGGUAGUCAGUGAGAAAUGACAUGCACACAUUUGUGUGAUUAAACACAACUCACUUGUAAUUAAAGGUAACAGGACCCUGUUGUGUCAUAUGUAUAGAAUGCUAUAUUUACAAACCAAAAACCACUUAUAUUUCUAAGCUUGCAAUAGAGGCUUUUUAAAUGUAAAAAAUAAUUUUGUAACACGUGAGAUUAAUCAUUAUCCAAAGGCUUGAUCAUAAUAUGUUAUGC
ensembl:lncRNA